rnacentral:lncRNA from 1 species
AAAUAUUUAUAUAUACUAUUCCCUCAUAAAUUUAUAUUCUAUUUUUUUAAAAAAACGAAAUGUUGAAAUCUCCGAAUAAUGUUUUAGUUAUACUUGUAGCAUUCCUUUUCGUUUUCUUAAUGAUCAUAUCAAAUGAAGCUUGCAGAAUGCUGGAUGAAGAUGCUGAGCAGUUGAAGACGACGACGACAAAGAGUAGUUGUCAUUAUCAUGAUUUUCAUCUGCUACAAUCACUGCAAAGGGGUUCGGUGCCACCUCCGGGGCGACGCAAUGGCUGCACUUUCAUUCCCGGCAAGAGCAAAACUCCAUGCAAAAUCGACGGGCAAGGUUUCGCAGGACGGCCUAGCAGGAGAUCAGCCACUCCGGCGUUCAUGCAUGAAUCAACCUAGUGACGAGAGUUGCUACGGCCUCGGCUCUAUCACGGUUCACAAAUAUUAUAAUAAACUAACCUGCACAGACAAAGCAAAUUAUAUAUCACUCUUCCCUCGAAUUUGUUUUCACUUUAUUUUAAAUUGUACUCCCUACUUUUCACUGUUAUUCUCUCUCAAAUUAGGGUUUUGAGAGUCGACUCCCAAAAUUAGCUCACUUCUCCAUUCUUCACCUUCAUCCUCUACAUCCACCAAAUCAUUUUCGCUCUCCCAUCUUCUCCACUCUUUACCUGUUUUUUGUUUUUCAAUAAAAUCGAGGGUUGCUUAAA